CCCUCUUCUACCCUACAAAGCUUUAUUUUUAAUAUUUCUAUAAAAAGGAUACCAGUGGUUGGUUUGAGCUGGGGGAUGCAGAAGCAACAGCAGUUUUCUCUGGUGCCUGUUGGGGCAGUGGCAGUAGCAUUUCCUCCCUAGGUCAGUUCUGUAGCACAGUUCCCUGGAAUCUACUCAAUAAAGUGCUCCCCACAAACAGGAAGACAUAGAAUCCAACAAAUGGGAGCUCCAACAUCAAAAAAGGAGGUUGUGUUCCCAGGAUGACAAUAAAGGAAUGUCCUGAAACACAGCAAGACAGUAAGACUAGAAAGAGACGAAUCCAUUGUGGAGUGGAAGGAUGGAUUCAAAAUCCAUAUUUUCAAGAACUGGAGUUCUCAGAUUUUCCUUAAGUGCUUGAAUGUAUUAAGAGGUUCUUAU
rnacentral:lncRNA from 10 species